CUAGAGAAUCCGAUUCGCCUCUAAAAAUUGUACGGUCAGACAGCGGAUCCUGAGCUGACCCCGUGUCGGAUCUGCCUACGCGGAGGCACCUAGGUGCAUGAACUAGCUAGGUCAAGCUACGCGCAUGAGCCAAGAUCGAUCAUUUCUGGACUUUCUCUGCUGGAACACGACCAUCCUCUGUUGCCUGGAUUUUUGCCUACAAUUGCUUCUGCUGUGUUCGCUUAAUCAAUUCUUACAACCUUGGGGCAGCAUUCAGGAUGCCUUUUCAUCUGAUCAAGUUCAUAAUUAACGGGGACAUUGCGGUUGUCCCAAGUGGAUGGUAUGAUGAUGGGAUGGUUUUCUGGCCCAGCUAUAAAAGCACAGACAGAAUGAAAAGGGCCGCUUUAAAUGAGGAGCAGCAUGAUCCAAACUGGCCAAGAUAUGACGUUUCUGUUGUCCGAACUUGUGACAACUACAAAGACGCAUUUAAAUCAAUGCAACAACAUGGAAAGGCCUACACCACGUCAGACCUGCAAUCCGAGGCACAGAAUGAGAAGCUGCAAGAAAAACGGAACAGGAAGCCAGUCAUCGUCUCGGGGACUCGGAGAGUAGCGAAGAAGACCAGGGAAAUGGUGACCUCCCAUCUCUGGGGUUGGCAAGCCGAUUGCACAGGCAGAGUAAGGAAUAAUCUCUUAACAACUAAAAAAACGAAACCACCACAUUAAUAUUAAAAUAUGGUUAACAUUCUUAAUGCUAAAGAUAUUCCCCUCUCCUUGUAUCCCUUCUCCGAGGUCCACUGUCUCGCCGAGUGCCAGCAAAAAUUAUUAAUACCGGUACUCAUCAACGCAACUCCUCAACUGGAGAUAACUUUCUAGCACAUCACAAUGGGUAAGGACGUAUUCCUUCGCCAGCACCUGCAUUAAACAUGCAGAGAGUUACACAAGAACGGCAGUCCCUCCUCGACUCCCUGCACCCCCGCCCCAGCCCUCAACAUGUGGCAGACAGAGGAGCCUGGAUCCCGCCUGGCCUACAGGCCAACAUGGCGUGGGGGAAGAAUGGCCGACAACAUUUCCUGCUCUGCGGCUGAGGUCCAGAUCCUUAGCCUGCUGGAAAUUAUGAAACACACCCAAGACCAGCUGAUGGCGAAGGUAAACUUCUUGACCAGCAGGUUGACCAUUACCCCAGGGCCAGAAGUGGAAAUGCCGGACAAUAUUCAGUUUCCACUGGGACAGUUGGAGGUCGUGGAGGCAUUUGAAGCCUUUUUGUACGAACAAUCAAAUGGCCCAGCUCGACAAAGAGUGGUGAGGUUUCUUACUUAAUAUGAAUGGUGCCAUUAGGUUUAUUGAUUUUCCAUGAUUAUGCAAAUAUUCUAUUGAAUCAGCCCUGACAACCAAGUCUGUCCUGAACCCCCUUUUCCCAGUGGUAAGAUUGUCAGUGAGCCACAAUCUGCCUUGUUUGACAUUGUUUGUAAAGGUAGCAUAGGUCCAUGAGCCAAGAGUACAGGUUGUUUUUUUUUACAUUUCUGGACCCUUUCAAGAAGAACAAAAAUGUAUUAAAUGCAACUUAAGCUUAAAAAUGUUUACCUGUUUGUUUAAAGAGAUGUCUACGCCUUUUAGAUUUCUUCUUUGGGCACCAUUGGAGGCCAGGAUGUGAAGCGGGUGACCUGGAACAUCCUGGGCAGGAUCUUCACCGAUGACGUUUCACAUCAAAUUAAUUGGAAGGGUGUCAAUAACAAAAAGGCCUUUAGCAGGAUGGCAACAAAGACCUGGUUUUUCAGUGCUGUAAGAAAAAAUGUGGUGACAAGGUCAGCCACAGAUGCUGUCGUAACCAAACACGCAAUCAGGUGGUUCAACCUGGCGGCGGAUCGGGCAACGAGGAGACGAGUUCUGCCUCCACCUCCACAGACAGAUCAGGAGGAAU